GAUGAACGCUGGCGGCGUGCCUAAUACAUGCAAGUCGAGCGAACAGACGAGGAGCUUGCUCCUUUGACGUUAGCGGCGGACGUGUGAGUAACACGUAGAUAACCUACCUAUAAGACUGGUAUAACUUCGGGAAACCGGCGCUUAUACCGGAUAAUAUUUCGAACCGCAUGGUUCGUUAGUGAAAGAUGGCUUUGCUGUCACUUAUAGAUGGACCUCCGCCGUAUUAGCUAGUUGUGCAGGUAACGGCUUACCAAGGCAACGAUACGUAACCGACCGGAGAGAGUGGUCGCCCACACUAGAAGGGAAACGCGGACCAGAGUACUAAGGGAGGGAGCAGAAGGGAAUCUGAGGCAGUGGUGGGAAGCCUUACGGAACAAGGGCGAGCGAGUGACGAAGGCGUUGGGUUCGUAAUACUGGGCUAUGAGGGAAGAACAACCGUGUAAGGAGAUGAACCGGUCUUGACGGUACCUGAUCAAAAAGCCACGGCUAACUACGUG
rnacentral:rRNA from 1 species